GUAGGUGGCAAGCGUUGUCCGGAAUUAUUGGGCGUAAAGCGCGCGCAGGCGGGUUCUUUAAGUCUGAUGUGAAAGCCCACGGGCUCAACCGUGGAGGGUCAUUGGAAACUGGAGAACUUGAGUACAGAAGAGGGAAGCGGAAUUCCACGUGUAGCGGUGAAAUGCGUAGAGAUGUGGAGGAACACCAGUGGCGAAGGCGGCUUUCUGGUCUGUAACCGACGCUGAGGCGCGAAAGCGUGGGGAGCAAACAGGAUUAGAUACCCUGGUAGUCCACGCCGUAAACGAUGAGUGCUAAGUGUUAGGGGGUUUCCGCCCCUUAGUGCUGCAGCUAACGCAUUAAGCACUCCGCCUGGGGAGUACGGCCGCAAGGCUG
rnacentral:rRNA from 1 species